rnacentral:rRNA from 1 species
CCCUAUUAUUGAAAAUGUAAAUANAAAUGCUUGAGUAUUAGUAGCUAUGUUCUUGAAAUUUAAAGGAUUUGGCGGUAUUAUAGUCUAUUCAGAGGAACCUGUCCUAUAAUUGAUGAUCCACGAUUAAUCUUACUUGUUUUAAAGGUUUGUAUAUCGUCGUAGGUUGAAUGUUUUGAAAGGAAGAGGAAUAUUCAAGAUAUUAGGUUAAAGAGGAAAUCAGAUCAAGAUACAGCGGAUAGACAAGGAGAGAUGGGUUACAAUAAAUUUAUUUAUAUGGUUGAAAUAGUUAACACUAUUUUUUAAAGUGGAUUUGAUUGUAAUAUAGUUUAGUUAAACUAUAUGACUGAAGCUCUAUAAUAUGCACAUAUCGCCCGUCGCUCCUGCUCUAAAGCAGGAUAAGU